AGUGAACGCUGGCGGUAGGCCUAACACAUGCGAGUCGAACGGCAGCACAGGAGAGCUUGCUCUCUGGGUGGCGAGUGGCGGACGGGUGAGGAAUACAUCGGAAUCUGCCCAGUCGUGGGGGAUAACGUAGGGAAACUUACGCUAAUACCGCAUACGACCUUCGGGUGAAAGAGGGGGAUCGCAAGACCCCUCGCGAUUGGAUGAGCCGAUGUCGGAUUAGCUAGUUGGCGGGGUAAUGGCCCACCAAGGCGACGAUCCGUAGCUGGUCUGAGAGGAUGAUCAGCCACACUGGAACUGAGACACGGUCCAGACUCCUACGGGAGGCAGCAGUGGGGAAUAUUGGACAAUGGGCGCAAGCCUGAUCCAGCCAUACCGCGUGGGUGAAGAAGGCCUUCGGGUUGUAAAGCCCUUUUGUUGGGAAAGAAAUCUUUCAGGCUAAUACCCUGGGAGGAUGACGGUACCCAAAGAAUAAGCACCGGCUAACUUCGUG
rnacentral:rRNA from 1 species